rnacentral:rRNA from 1 species
GUGGGGAAUCUUCCGCAAUGGGCGAAAGCCUGACGCAGCCAUGCCGCGUGAAUGAUGAAGGUCUUAGGAUUGUAAAAUUCUUUCACCGGGGACGAUAAUGACGGUACCCGGAGAAGAAGCUCCGGCUAACUGCGUGCCGGCAGCCGCGGUAAUACGAAGGGGGCUAGCGUUGCUCGGAAUUACUGGGCGUAAAGGGCGCGUAGGCGGACAGCUUAGUCAGAGGUGAAAGCCCAGGGCUCAACCUUGGAAUUGCCUUUGAUACUGGCUGUCUGGAGGUUGGAAGAGGUGGGUGGAACCCCGAGUGUAGAGGUAAAAUUCGUAGAUAUUCGGAAGAACACCAGUGGCGAAGGCGACUCACUGGCCCAAUACUGACGCUGAGGCGCGAAAGCGUGGGGAGCAAACAGGAUUAGAAACCCGGGUAGUCC